AUUGAACGCUGGCGGCAGGCUUAACACAUGCAAGUCGAGCGGAGAUGAGGUGCUUGCACCUUAUCUUAGCGGCGGACGGGUGAGUAAUGCUUAGGAAUCUGCCUAUUAGUGGGGGACAACAUUCCGAAAGGAAUGCUAAUACCGCAUACGUCCUACGGGAGAAAGCAGGGGAUCUUCGGACCUUGCGCUAAUAGAUGAGCCUAAGUCGGAUUAGCUAGUUGGUGGGGUAAAGGCCUACCAAGGCGACGAUCUGUAGCGGGUCUGAGAGGAUGAUCCGCCACACUUGGACUGAGACACGGCCCAGACUCCUACGGGAGGCAGCAGUGGGGAAUAUUGGACAAUGGGGGGAACCCUGAUCCAGCCAUGCCGCGUGUGUGAAGAAGGCCUUGUGGUUGUAAAGCACUUUAAGCGAGGAGGAGGCUACUGAGACUAAUACCCUUGGAUAGUGGACGUUACUCGCAGAAUAAGCACCGGCUAACUCUGUGCCAGCCGCCGCCGUAAAAC
rnacentral:rRNA from 1 species